GACUGGAAUCCAGUGAGGUCACACAGGCGCUCUGGAAGCCAGUGAUGCAGUAUCAGAAUCUGGGAACACAAUGAGGCAAUGUUUCAGCUGCUUGUGCAUUCUUCACCUCCCAUUGUCUCUGUCUCUCUCUUUCUCCUCUGCUUCCCCUCCCCCCACAACCAAAGUCAAGAGCGCAGACCCCAUGAUCACCUGAUACCUCCAAGCAAGCAGGUGUUCUUUUCAGAAGCCAGAAGCUGAUAACCUUGGCUUUCUGAUCUAACUCCAGCCCAAAUUCAUUGCAAUGGAGGAAUUGGGGAGGAGAUUCUUCCAACUGAGAAGUGGGUGCCAACUCUCCCUUUCAAAUUUGUUCAUCAACAAACUAAAGGGGAUGCCAGAAAUGUCUGGAGCAAUGGAAGAACCAUUGGAAUAAUGCUCCUGCCUGAUUGCAUCUACUUAACCCACUCUCCAAGAGCCAGAAUCAGAUUUCAACCGUAUGGAAUCAUCUACAAUGCAGCAGAUGGGUUUACAAGUCUCUUGGUCUCUUCGUGUAAUUAACAGCCAAGAAGUCUAAAGCUUGCAUUGUUUACGUGGAAGAUGUUUCUUGCCCAUUCCCACGCCAUGCCAUCUGAAAUCGCUCCUUUUUUAAUUUUUUCUGUGCAGUUUUUUUAACUUUGUGGGAUCCUCUGCAUAUAAAACUCCAUUCAACUACUUCAUCCUACUGUAGAAAGCUACUUCCCUAUGAGUUUAGCUCCAUGAUUUACAAUGGUUUCUUUUCCCA